CCUCCGGAGCAUUAUAUCAAACGUAAGUAGCUUGUCCUUCGGGAGGGCAAAAACGGAUGCGAUGAACGAGGAA
ncrna:unclassified sequences RAGATH-18 RNA